rnacentral:tRNA from 1 species
GAGGGUAUAGCUCAAGUGGUAGAGCACAUGCUUAGCAUGCAUGAAGUCCUGGGUUCAAUCCCUAGUACCUCCU